AGUUUGCUUCCUGUUAGAUGUCCCUAGG
rnacentral:piRNA from 1 species